GUAGAGGCUCUUAUAUUCGGUUAAGGAGAGCAUGGCUAUUAUAGAUAUCACAAUUAGCACAUAGGUUAACCCUAAAUACUGAUUCCUUCCCCUCGAGUGUGCGACGGCAGCAGGCUGAUCGGAGGUCUUUUCCAUACUCACUCGUGUCCAUCUUAUAGUCGGGUUUGGGGUGUCCAACGAUAAAACAAGUAACUAGUCGUACCGAGCAAUCUAAGGUCGUUAGAUUUCUUGACAUGGACUUGCUAUCUGGGAGUGCUGGAGUGGUCAUGGAUCGAGGCUCUUGGAUAUACACGUAUUGAUACAUUGGUUUUGAAUACUUAUCAUGAAACAGUUGUUUAACAAUUCACUAUAUGCUUCCGCUACACAACUCUUUUGGUUUAAUCUUAUGAUUGGUAUUUACAAUUGACAAUUAAUGAUAAGUUUUAUUUAAAUACAAUGCGUGGUUCAAUGUGAUUGGUGGCUCGAAUCCUGGUACGUCACACAUCCCGCGGUGCUCCCGCAUGUGGUAUUUUGGGGGUGUGACAACUACCUUCAUCUUCUUCAUAUAAGUCUCAUUUUAAGCUUUGAAG